GCUGCCCCAGCCUGAGAACCUGAACUUGGCCUUGCUGGGAAAUGGUUGCUUGCUCAGUCCUGCUGGGAUUUCAAGGGUCACAACAGAAGCAGGGGGACUUUCCAGCAAAUGGUUGUUCCAUAAAAAUCUCAGCAGCAUCUGGCCUCUCACAAACACCAGCGCCACAAAAGGAGCCAGCGCAUCUCCGACUUCCUGCGCAAGAUGCUGUGUGGAAAGAAACGCAGUUUUGUGCGUUAAGAUGGUAAUUUGGGGCUGGGGAGAUGUCUCUGCAGGGAAAGGCGCUUGCCUGCCUGGAAGCCAACCAACCCUCGUGAGCUGGUGGGAGAAAACCAACUCCUGCAAGUUAGCCUCGGACCUCCACCUUCGGAAACUCCCUGAGGCCAGGCUUUGGGUCCCUUUGUGAUCAUGGAUCUGAUCACACGUGGGUAGCGCACAGCAGGUGCUCCUUCAUGAGAGGUGGCUGGAUGAGCUGGUGACCAGAUCAAUUCCUGGG
rnacentral:lncRNA from 1 species